UGUGUGUAUGUGUUGAUGUGUGUGUACAUGUACAUGUGUGAAUAUGAUAUACAUAUACAUACACGCACACAUAAGACACAUAUGAGCACA
rnacentral:pre_miRNA from 1 species